CUUGUUCUCUUCAUUCCCACGCCUAACCACUAGAGUAAAAUGCCAUGUUUAUCACAUAAGAGGCAUCCCCUUAAAUAGGAAAGAAAGGACACCUCCAAGGGAUGCCAACAAUUGGCAUCACAAGUUUUUCACCACUGAUUAAUUACAAUUAAGGAGAGUUGGUUGGGUUUUUAAUCAGUAGAAGGACUCUUCUCUAUGUACACCUCCCAAGGCACCACCUGAUGUCG
rnacentral:lncRNA from 1 species